ensembl:rRNA 5S_rRNA 5S ribosomal RNA
GUCUACGGCCAUACCACCCUGAACGUGCCCGAUCUCAUCUGAUCUCGGAAGCUAAGCAGGGCCUGGUUAGUACUUGGAUGGGAGAAAGUGUCAGGUGCCGUGGUCG